rnacentral:rRNA from 1 species
UACGUAGGGGGCAAGCGUUGUCCGGAAUCAUUGGGCGUAAAGAGCGUGUAGGCGGCUCGAUAAGUCUGCUGUGAAAGUCCAGGGCUCAACCCUGGAAGGCCGGUGGAAACUGUCGGGCUAGAGUCCGGAAGAGGCGAGUGGAAUUCCCGGUGUAGCGGUGAAAUGCGCAGAUAUCAGGAAGAACACCCGUGGCGAAGGCGGCUCUCUGGAACGCAACUGACGCUGAGACGCGAAAGCGUGGGGAGCAAACAGG